rnacentral:lncRNA from 1 species
AUCGUUCCAAUAACCAAUAGCGCAUAUGUAAUUGAAACGGCAGUUCGGAUAUCUAACCAUGGUUAAAUUAAUUGACUUAAUUAUAUUAGUCUAAUAAAGUUUUUAUGGAUGGAUUAGUUAUUGAUGGCUUUAACAUAAUAUUUAUUUUUUAAAAUUUCAAAUUUUCUAACAUUUUAACUUAUUUGAUUUUCUUACUCCAAUUUUUUUAGCCUAGUCUAAUAUAUUGGCAAUACCUUUACAUGAAGUAUUUUUGCCCAUCUGUACUUUUAUCCGAUUUUUUCAUCCGACUUUUUAAAAUAAAAACGAUUUUUUCCCGAUUUUAAGGUACACCGAUUUAGGAAAAAUAUCUCCAUACCCAGUAUUUUUAGGUUUCAUUUCUUGAUAAAUCCAAGGUUUCAAAAUAUAUCUUCAAACACCCUAGCAAGUUUAAACCUAUUUUUUAACCUAAACAAAUGUGAAAAAGACAUGCUCUUUCUAAACUCAAUCAUUUUUCUCUCUUCACUUAUAUACCCCCAAACUUAUCUC